UCAAACAAGUUAAGAUGUUGAUCAACAACCAAAGUCUACUUUUGAUCAUUGUUUUUAGUCUCUUUGCCUUAUGUAUUGAUGGAAACAACACCGAGGAUGACAAAAAGUUGGAUCUUGCAUCAAGAAAUCUUGAUUUUCAUAACAUAAGUCAAUCAACAUCUUUAAGUAAUCCGGAUCAGGAUAGCAGUAAGUUUGCUCUAUGUUUCCCCAGGAUCCCUUGUGGACAGUUCAAAGUUUGUUAUUGUUGCCUACAACCACAUAUAUAUUGUGUGCCAGGCUUUCAAUGGUGUCAAACCUUAUGUAAUCGUGAUCAACGUAAUGUGUAACAGGUUUAUGUAUUUGAAUAAAAAUAAAUAGUGGUCUUUGUUAA